GGCGGUGAAGCUAACGUUAUUGAUGGAGAUAAGAAUGUUGAGGUGGCAGUUAAUAAAGUUUCAAAUAACACGGAUUCCUUAAGAGUUAUUAUUGAAUCUUCUUUUGGUAGAAUUUCAAAUAUUGCCAAAUCUGGAGGAAAUUGUGAAGCAGAUUUGGGAAUUGAUGAUGUGGCAACCAUACCCAACACCCAUGAUAAUUCAGUUAUCAUUUUGGAGGAGAUCCAUAACGCUAGAAUUGAUCAACUAGGCGCAAUUCAAAUACUUUAAGAGGAGCGGGUCCUGGAGUGGGUUCCAGCCCAACUUUGGUAUGUCCUUCUCCCAGAGGAGUAGCGACCCCCAUAGAAGGAGGUCGGCUGGAAGUUGUCAUUCCUGUUACAGAUAUGACGCGUCUUUCUCAAGGUGCUAUAGUAGAUUCGUCUCAUUUGAUGCUAGUUGUUCAGGAUGACAGUCGCAGAGUGAUUGUACAACAUCACCUAUCAAGCUCCUGUGAGGAAGACCAAAGAUCCAAUGAGAAAUUUAUUCCUGUCAAAGGAAAAUUUCAGGCUGAAUCAUCAGCUGCUGCUCAGAAGAGAUUUCGUAGGCAAGAGAUUUCUAACGUUGAGAAUAUGUUAAACCAAGUUUUGGGGUUGGGAUUUACAACUCGGCGCUCCACAUGGAUUGGAAGGUAAGGGCUGUUGGCAAUGUCCGUGCUCACUCGGCUUUGCAAGUUCUAAUUCGUGACCACCAUCCUACUUUUAUAUGUCAGAACUCAAUUCCUCACUUUGUUAGUGGAGGAAAAUGGGAUGAAAUUUCUGGUUUCUGUGGUCCACGCAAAGUGCUUCAGGAACGACAGGCAUCAACUAUGGUUUGAUUUAUGCUCAGUUUCACGUAUGCAACUCCCUUCGAUUAUUAUUGGUGAUUUUAAUGCUUACUUGUUUUCUCAUGAAAAACGAGGCCCUGGUCAUUUCAAUCAAGGAUCUGCAGAGGAUUUUGCAACUUUUGUUGAUUCAGCUAGUCUUCUCCCUUCCUAGUCUACUGGCCUUAAAUUCACAUGGUCUAACAAUAAGGUCAGUGGUAGUGUUUGUGUGAUACUUGAUUGUAGCUUCUGCAAUGAGGAAUGGUUGCAGUAUUUCCCUCCCCUAUUGUGGUUGAUUGUAAUGAGGUGCCUAGGCCUUCUAAUGUUCCAUUUAGAAUGUGAAGGUUUUGGGCCGAUCAUGCUGAUUUCAAGAAGAUAGUCAAGGAAAUAUGGGAGGCACCAGUCAGAGGAACUCCCAUGUUUAUUGUUGCUCAAAAAUAAAAAAUAAAAUUAAAAGGUCCUUUGAAGUCAUGGGCUAAAUCAAUUUUCCCGCACAUUGAUUUGGAUGUUGAGACUUUAAAGGCAGCCCUAGAGUCGGUUCAAAUGAGCAUUGAGAAGAAUGGGCUAGAUGAUUUAUCUUUUAGACAGGAACCUGCAGCGAGAGCAAAAUUAGACAAAACAGUUUUGCUUCAAGGGAAAAUGUGGGUUGAAAAGGCAAGAAUUUGAUGGCUUAAAGAGGGUGAUCGUUGCUCUAAGCUCUUUCACAUCUCAUCCAAGAUCAAAAGGGGCAGAAAUAUAAUUCGAAGGCCUAAGGGGGAGGAUGGUAGCAUACUCACUGACUGUGACGCUAUUAGCCAACGCAUGGUUAGUCAUUUUCAGAUGUUCCAUAAGCGGGGGGAUGCUGCUAGAAAUGUCAAUCUUUUAUCUAUGAUUCCCAAGGUUUCAAAUGAUCAAGACAAUGAGAUCCUCACUGCUCUUCCAUCUCCUGAAGAAAUUAGAGCAGCAGUGUUUAAUCUUGAUCCUUCCAGUGCACUUGGUCCAGAUGGUUUCCCAGGUACUUUCAAUCAUUCCUAUUGUGAUAUUGUUGGCCCAAGUAUAUGUCGUGCUUUGGUAAAUUUUUUCGAGGAAGGAGUAAUUACAAAAGGGGUUAAUAAUAA